rnacentral:lncRNA from 1 species
UGGCUGGAGCGCCACCAGCCCAAUUACCUUCAAAACAUCAUGCAGCUCAUCAGCAACCAGUUGUUGGAAGUUGAAUUCGGAGGCUCUUACAGCAGCAUGAUGAGCUAUGUGCCCGCCAGCGCUAUCAACCGCGAUAAAGCAGCGUGAAAUAUUCGGAUUCUCUGGAAACUUUUUCGACCUAUUCUCUUCAAUGUCCAAAAACCUCAGCACAUCAAUCCCAUCGUCAUGUUGCGCAGGGUGUCGUUGCUCAGGUGCAAGACGAUAAUCAACAGAAACAACUAUCACAUGCAAUUCUCUCGUGAACUUGCGGCAAACGUUGUAGUAUGGCUUCACGUCCGAGGAGAGGACAAUAUAUGCACCACCGUGAAAGAACACCAUGACAGAGAGAUCGAUAUAUUGAAUCAUUAUUAACUUUUUUUUUUUUUAUAAUGCAAACCAAAUUUGAUAAAUGUAUUUUAUUGAUUUGUUAUGGAUAUAGUGAAUCAUUAUUAUUAUUUUUUUAGUUAUAGAUAUAUUGAAUCAUUAUUAUUAUU